rnacentral:rRNA from 1 species
UACGGAGGGUGCAAGCGUUAUCCGGAUUCACUGGGUUUAAAGGGUGCGUAGGCGGACAUGUAAGUCCGUGGUGAAAUCUCCGAGCUUAACUCGGAAACUGCCAUGGAUACUAUAUGUCUUAAAUGUUGUGGAGGUUAGCGGAAUAUGUCAUGUAGCGGUGAAAUGCAUAGAUAUGACAUAGAACACCAAUUGCGAAGGCAGCUGGCUACACAAAUAUUGACGCUGAGGCACGAAAGCGUGGGGAUCAAACAGG